rnacentral:rRNA from 1 species
CCUCGGGUGGCAGCAGUGGGGAAUAUUGCACAAUGGGCGCAAGCCUGAUGCAGCCAUGCCGCGUGUGUGAAGAAGGCCUUCGGGUUGUAAAGCACUUUCAGCGGGGAGGAAGGCGGUGAGGUUCAUAACCUCAUCGAUUGACGUUACCCGCAGAAGAAGCACCGGCUAACUCCGUGCCAGCAGCCGCGGUAAUACGGAGGGUGCAAGCGUUAAUCGGAAUUACUGGGCGUAAAGCGCACGCAGGCGGUCUGUCAAGUCGGAUGUGAAAUCCCCGGGCUCAACCUGGGAACUGCAUUCGAAACUGGCAGGCUAGAGUCUUGUAGAGGGGGGUAGAAUUCCAGGUGUAGCGGUGAAAUGCGUAGAGAUCUGGAGGAAUACCGGUGGCGAAGGCGGCCCCCUGGACAAAGACUGACGCUCAGGUGCGAAAGCGUGGGGAGCAAACAGGAGUAGAUACCCGAGUAGUC